AUUGAACGCUGGCGGCAGGCCUAACACAUGCAAGUCGAACGGUAACAGGAAGAAGCUUGCUUCUUUGCUGAUGAGUGGCGGACGGGUGAGUAAUGUCUGGGAAACUGCCUGAUGGAGGGGGAUAACUACUGGAAACGGUAGCUAAUACCGCGUAACGUCGCAAGACCAAAAAGGGGGACCUUCGGGCCUCUUGCCAUCGGAUGUGCCCAGAUGGGAUUAGCUAGUAGGUGGGGUAACGGCUCACCUAGGCGACGAUCCCUAGCUGGUCUGAGAGGAUGACCAGCCACACUGGAACUGAGACACGGUCCAGACUCCUACGGGAGGCAGCAGUGGGGAAUAUUGCACAAUGGGCGCAAGCCUGAUGCAGCCAUGCCGCGUGUAUGAAGAAGGCCUUCGGGUUGUAAAGUACUUUCAGCGGGGAGGAAGGGAGUAAAGUUAAUACCUUUGCUCAUUGACGUUACCCGCAGAAGAAGCACCGGCUAACUCCGUG
rnacentral:rRNA from 1 species